rnacentral:lncRNA from 1 species
AAUUUCUUAUCAUUAUUGGCGACGAGGUAGUGAUUUCAUUCCAAGAUAAUUUUUUAUGGAUUUACAUUGUGAUUACAAAUUUUUGUUUUUUGAUUGUUAAACUAAAACGUUUUUCUUUGUUUGCUUGCUUUAUUAUUUUUCGCUUUUAAUGUCAAUGUAUAAAUAUUCAUAUGAGUUGUGACAUAUUAUCACAGAAAUGUCUUACUGAAUUCAAAUGUAACGAUAAAGAUAUUUUGUCAUGAAUUUGAAUUUUAAAUGUAAAUUGCAUCAGUUUAUGACAUGAUAAUUUUGGAAGGGUCUAUGGGGGAUAUUUGUUACUUCUUGCGCUAUUAAAUGUGAUGGUCACAUGUAAUGCGAGAAGAAAAUAGAAGAAUAUUAGACGGUUUAUGUUGUGAAAGAAGGGUGUUAAUAAUUAGUUUAGGAGUUUUGAACUUCAAAACUUGUACCAGGAAUGAGAUUAUUUUUCAGUGGUUAUAAAAGGAUGUAGCACAGUAGUUAAAAUUUAUCAUGUUCAUUUGAUUGUUUGUAUAUCUAAGUAGUUGAGUAAUCAAUAGAGUUAGAGGCUCCCUUAUUGAGUUAUGGUUUCUUUUCUUUUUCCAUAGAAAUAAUGUACUAUGUUUUGUUCUAAUUUUGAGCUUAUGUUUGAUCAGUGGAUUAAGAUAUUCUUUGUGUUUGGCCAUGAUACUCCCUUUGAGUUAACUUGUACCUAUUUUCACAUCUUAGAUUUGAUAUUUGCAUUAUCCCAGCACUUUUACAAGCUUCAAUCCAUUGAGAUGUAUAAUAUUCUUGUGAAGCCAAUCUCAUUGGUGCAAAGUUAUGUAGAAAUUCUUAGUUUCACUAUUCUUUGUUUGGCGUAUCUCUAGUUAUUUUUCUUAUCUGCUAAUGAAAUCAUGAUCUUGGUUGUUAAUAUAUUUUUUUCGAUGUCAGUUGCUACAUUUCAGGAUUAGCUAUUGUUAUCCUUUAUCUUAUUUGACUUUUUUGACUUCUUGGAGAAUAAUAGGAGCAAAAAUAUGAGUAUGCAGUUAAUUUAGGUUGAGCAACUGUACCCUUUUUCCAAAGUAAUAUCAUUAAACUGGAAAAUACUAUUAUUUGUCAUGACUUGAGUGACAUUCAAAUUUGUGAACAAACUAUAUCCCCCGGUUAUCAUAAAUAAGUAGUUGAAAAGUGAAGUAUUUGAGCAGUGCUAGAAAAGAAAUACUUUUUUUUGUUUGAGUUGCUAUGUCAUUGUUUAGAAUGUCUUGAUUUCAUUUACAUUAUUCUCUAUGCAAGGAAAUUACUUCCUUGAAUGUUAUGAAUGGGCAGCUUUAAAAGAUAGUAAAACAUGCAACUAAUUCUGAUGUCCUUAAGAUGGUCUAGCUGAAAAUAUUGUGACCAACAUAUUAGUUGAACUACUAGAAUUCCCUACUACCUUAUUUCAUUUGAGCACAAUGAAGUAUGCUAUCCAAAUGGUUAGUUAUUGGAAAUGCUUUCGUGCACAGUAGCAUAUUUUAUUUUUAUUUAUUUCCUAGUUGUAUAGGCUAAUAUGGUGUUAAUAUGUGCAGGUACAAGUGAAGGUCCAAGUAUAUUCAAACAGCAAGAUUUUGAACACAAAGUGCAGAGAAUUUUCACCUUAAUGAAAUAUAUGAAAAAUACCUUUAACAAAAAAUUUCCUCGAAUAAUAGAGUCCAUAUGAAGAUGCUACACUAGGAGAAAUUUUGUUCCCUUAGAGGCUGUACAGAGUUUAACCAUUGCACCAAGAGGUACUAAGAUGAAAUAUUAGGAUAUAGUUUGAAUAUUAAUGUAGUUCAAGACUAGCAGCUUGAUGGUUUUUAGCUUUAAUUUGUUGUAGUUAUGCACUAUUUUAGACUUUGCUGUAGAGAUGCAAUCUCCAUUGAGUUCAGCUUCUUGACGUACUCAGUUUUAACAACAGUUGAGACUAAUUAAUACCGUGUGAAGUUCUCAGGGCGAAGUGGAUGCAGAAAUGAAGAUUUGUUGAAUAUGAAGAUAUUUUACCAAGGCAGUUUCAUAGUAGAAAAAAAGGCUUAGCAGAGGGGAUUCAAACCACAACAAAAACAUCGGCCUCUUACACUAGACAUUAUUCCUGCAGACAAAAGCUAAUACAACAUUUAUCCAAUUAUGUUCCUU